rnacentral:lncRNA from 1 species
CAUGCAAGAGAUGAAUCAUACAUACGACACCAAUAAACAACAUAAUCUUUUUCUUGUCUUUGGCUCGUAACACUGAUUAAGGGUCCAAUAAACUUCAGCUAGGACAACCAUGAUUGUAUACUCAGAGCAAACUUUGUAUUCCGUAAAUGCAUUCAUGGCGACAUAGUCAACAAAAUUCCUUGUACUAGGAAAAAGCAUGACACCAUAGUCGAUAAAAGCUAGUACAUUCACGUGUUUACCACUUUUCCUCCUCGGUCAAUCAAUGCAAGAACCACCAUAGGUAUCCUUGAGGAAGGUCCCUUGUUGUACCUUUAAGUAUGAAUUCACUCUCCAACUUCAUAGGGGGAACUUUCAUUAUCCUUGCUAGCUGCAAAUCAGGUAUAUACUGCCCAAGGUGGUAUGAAGUGUUUCCCUUGAGGAAUACAUCUAAGGUCUCCUCAAAUUCUUCUAUUGUUGGCAUCAACUAGAAAUGGGUCAUAGUGUUGGGCUAAAACAAUAAUUGUUGUUGUCUGGACCUCCACCUCUGCCAGGGUCAACAAAUUCCCACCCAAUCCUGAAUGCAUUUUUCAAGGUCAUCUUUUUCAUAUCCCUCAAGAGAUUGAUACUGCCCCCCUUGACUUCAAUGCAUAUGUUUUUCUUCAAAAAGUUUAAACUUGAA